ACUUAAUGAUUAGGAAUUCCUUUUUGUAAGAAUUUAUUCUUAUUAAGUAUUAUGUUGUGUUUGCAUAUUGUUCGGGAAACCGAACUCAAGUAACUUAAUUUUAGUUACUUAUUUUAACUUCCUGUAUA
rnacentral:sRNA from 1 species